UACGAAGGGGGCGAACGUUGUUCGGAAUCACUGGGCUUAAAGGGCGCGUAGGCGGGCGGCCAAGUCGGAGGUGAAAGCCUGCAGCUCAACUGCAGAAGUGCCCCCGAUACUGGUUGUCUCGAGGGAGGUAGGGGCAUGUGGAACUUCCGGUGGAGCGGUGAAAUGCGUAGAUAUCGGAAGGAACGCCGGUGGCGAAAGCGACGUGCUGGACCUCUACUGACGCUGAGGCGCGAAAGCCAGGGGAGCAAACGGG
rnacentral:rRNA from 1 species